GCCCCUCCCCUCCUGUGCCUACGCCAUAAUGUGUGUAAUCGUCACCUGUCUCUCGUUACCUGUCGUGUAUUUUAAGUCCAGUCUGCGUGUCGUUCUCUUGUUAGAUUGUUCUGUUAGUUUUUCGGUUCCUCCUAUUAUUCUUUCUCUUGUUAGUUUGUCGGUUCCUCCUGUUACUCCGGCCCUGUCAGUUCUGUUUCUGUUAGCCAGUCCUGUCAGUCCCGUUGUCGUCGGUUAGCCCGUUCUAUUAGUUUGCCUCCCCUGUUUGUUUGUUUGUUUGUUUGUUUGUUUGUUUGUUCCUGCUUGCUGGUUCCCUUCAUCCUCUCCUCCAACAACCUUUUCCCUCACUAAACCCUGGUCCAAGCUGCAUUUGGUCCAAGCUACUCAGAAACAAACGACAUCUGGAAUUUCACGUGGAACCGAACACACAAUUAAAUACUGAAGAAGACCAGGGUCUCAAUUGUUUACUUCAAGGCCUUUCCUGGCAAUACAUCACAACGGCAACAAUGGAGGCCGUCCCCGGGGAACCGCCGCUUGGCUACUCACGCACGGCCUUGUGGGAAAGGCGAAGAACGGAUUUUGGGUCGAGUGCUUCAAUCCAGUUGAGUGGAGCAAGAUUUAAUCUGCGAGGCCUAUGCCGCUAUUCAAGGGGGAUAAAAGGAUUUCCAGAACCAAACAAAAUGGCUGCUGAGCGGGAAAUGUGAGGGCGAGACGGCGCCGCGGUGAAGGAGGGUCGAGUGCGAGUCAUCUCGAGUCGCCAUUUUGUGUCACUUCCUGGCUGCUAAAAAGCUAAUCCUGUUAGCCGCCACGCCAGCGCCCAGCUCCAGUGCUGACCGGGCGAAAAGACGCUCAAGUGGAGGGGAAGAGUAAUUAGAGAAAGAACAUUUCGACUCGGACAAUAUAGAUGACAAUCCAACUUGCGCUGGCGACUGUGGGAAGUGGAGAGGUGUCAUGAUGCAAGAAGUCAUACAGAAACUACCAACACUUAGCUGAUAAUCAUCGGAGCAAAAGAAGGAAGCCUCAGGACGAACGGCGGCACAGCGGCAAUUACCGGACCAUCAUUGCGCUGUCAGUAGUGUUGGCUCUUCAUAUGACUUCAACCAGUAGGUGUCGGUAAUGCCCAUUGAAGCUGGUGCCACCUCACCGUAAAACAAAACGAAGAAGAAAAGGACGUAACUUCCUGUUCACAAACGAGUUGUGAAUUGCAUUUCCCCUUUACCAACGAACGAAUCUGUGUGAAUGAUUCGCAUUUCCAGUUCUUCGCGAGAACGGAUCA